rnacentral:rRNA from 1 species
UACAGAGGUCCCGAGCGUUGUUCGGAUUCACUGGGCGUAAAGGGUGCGUAGGUGGUGAGGUAAGUCGGAUGUGAAAGCUCCGAGCUCAACUCGGAAAUGGCAUUGGAAACUACCUUGCUCGAGGGUUUGAGGGGGGACUGGAAUACUUGGUGUAGCAGUGAAAUGCGUAGAUAUCAAGUAGAACACCAGUGGCGAAGGCGAGUCCCUGGAAAACUCCUGACACUGAGGCACGAAAGCUAGGGGAGCAAACAGG